GUCUUUUAGAUUAUAAUUUAAAGUCUAACCUGCCCAAUGAUUAUUUAAAUGGCCGCAGUAUAUUGACUGUGCAAAGGUAGCAUAAUAAUUAGUUUUUUAAUUGAAAGCUGGUAUGAAAGGUUGAACGAGAAAAUUACUGUCUCAAUUUAAUUUUAUUAUAAUUUUAUUUUUUAGUUAAAAAGCUAAAAUUUAUUUUAAAGACGAGAAGACCCUAUAGAGUUUUAUAUUUAAUUUAUAUAGUUUUUAGUAAUUUAAUAUAAAGUAUAAUAUUUUAUUGGGGUGAUAAAUAAAUUUAAUAAACUUUAUUUUUUAAAAACAUUAAUUUAUGAUUAAUUGAUCCAUUUAAAUGAUUAAAAGAUUAAAUUACCUUAGGGAUAACAGCGUAAUUUUUUUAAAGAGUUCUAAUCGAAAAAAAAGAUUGCGACCUCGAUGUUGGAUUAAAAUUAAAAUUUGGUGUAGAAGCU
rnacentral:rRNA from 1 species